GACGACGUUAUCAGUUGUCUUAUCAAUGGUUCCCGUUGACGAUAGUUUUUUUUUUUUUUUUUGCUGUUCACCCGUUCGUUUCCCACGCUACUUCAACGUAUAUAUUAUCGCAUUGCAUACAAACGCGUUCAUCGUCUUCCGAACCCGAAGGACCGACCUGUAGCGUCCCACGUACUACAGCUAACAGCUUAUUAAAUUAUUAGGACUUGGAAUUUCAACAGCUAAAUUAAUUGUUGUGCUUGGAAUAAUUUUGAACAGUUCAAAUAAAUCACUUAACCACAACUAGUAUUAAUUGUUUACAACAUCCACCUACAUAUCCAAGCGUUAAACAGACUUAGUGAAUAACUGAGAUUCCAUCGAUCGGUUGGCACGCAACAGACCGAACAACGUUGCCGAACAAAGGUUGCUAUCGCGCAACGACCGUGUUGUCGGGAUGCUUCUACGCGAGAUCGUGAAUUCGGUUCUCAUCGGCGUAGGGGUUGAUUCGUUGAUUUAUUGUUGCCACCGCGAUGGUCACGAUUUUUAUCAACAGAAAUCGAUCAGCGCGUCAUCAUAUAUUGUCGAUAUUCGGACCCAUUGUGGUCUGUCAUACUACAUUAAGGAAUGUUAUUGAAAUUAAUUUGGAAUAGCAAAUUUAUACAGAAUUUAUUAGAAAAAUUACUUUUUCCAGACACAAACUAGUUUAAAAACUUACUAAACAAUAUAAUAUUUUUCUUAUUUCAUACUGUUCAAUGAAAGUGCAAUACAUUUGAAGAUUAUAAGCGGCACAAUUAUAUAAAAUACAGCAAUAGAAUACAAACAAAUGUUUAGUUCAAACAUCAAAAUUAUCAUAUUCAAUUUCAAAUUUUACUUUAUUACCAAAAAGAGAAUGGCUUUUAACAAAUGGAGUAAUGCUAAAUAGCCUAAAUUAAUUUCAAUGAGUAAAAUUAGUUGGAAAACUAAUUUUCAUAAAGAAAAACAGGAAAGUAAACAAUACCAUCACCAAAACCACAAUCAUGUUGUCGGAAUCACGAAACGGGUAUUAGCGGUAAAGAAGCCAGAGAUAUUGACACUUGUAAAGACAUACACUUAUGAAAUUAUUACUUUAGCCCUUACGAAUUUGUAAUUAAGGAUGUGUGUAAAGGAAAUCGAGUAUUAUUUUCAAUUGACUUUGGUAAUGUUACAGAAACACAUAAAUGUCAGUCCUUACGAGUACUGUUAUAUGGGAAACCACAUUUCACAUAAAGUAUUAAGAAUAUCAGAACAACUCUAUAUAAUUAAUAUAUAAAAGCACCAGUAGUACGAUUAAAAUAGAUGAAAGGUUGUAGGAUAAAACAAGUAUGCAAAUACAAGUUAUGAGAGGUUCACCACCUUAGGAAUAUUAUACUUAAAAAGACGAGAACAUAAAAAAGGUUUAGAUGGUCAAAGUAGUUCUUGAGAAAAGAGAAUGCCACAGGAUCACACACAUCCAUGGGGUAUAUAAGGUAGUCCUAAAUAGACCCACAUUUAUGCCAGUGUUACGGACAUAUAAGAUGUAGGUCCUUACGACUCUUACUACAUAGGAGGAACAAAAUAAAUCAUAAAUAAUAGAAAUCGGGAAAUGAUUAUUAAUUAUUAAUUAAAAUCAGAAAGUAACACAAACACAUGUUAUAUAUGAACUGUAUGGCUACAUUUUAAAGUGUAAUAUUAAAAAAGCAAUUAAAAAGAAGCACAACAAAAUAUGAGAGACGUGCGAAUAGUAAUAUUAGCGAGGUCACUAAAGUAAUAAAUCUUAUAUUUAUAAUUAUCAGGAACAACUUUUACAUAGUGAUUGAUUCUCACAAGACCUGAGUAUAUAAAGGGGUUACUAACAGACCAAUAUUCAGAUGUGUUUCAGUCCAAGCUUAGUAAGCACCUUCACACUAGAUAGAUUAAUGAUUUAUUGUAGGUACUUAGAAAUAAUUUAAGUUAAUAAAAUUUUUUGGACAGAAUAAUUUAUCAAUAAAUAAUAAAAUAUUUAAAGUCUAGUAAUUAUUUAAUCAACCUAUCCUCUCAUAUCUACUCUUCAUCGGUUGAACUGAUAAUACGCAUGGCAAUACAAUGGCAAUACGCAACUCCAGUCUAUUUGUCAAAUACUUAAUACUUUUUAUUUAGAAAUAUUUCAAUAAAUAACAGUUAAACUUAUAUUCAGUAUUUAUUUGGAAAUAUCCUAACACACAUUCUUCAUUUGAACUGUUGUAUUGACGGCAUGCAACAGCAAAUUCAAAAAACCAAGGGGAGAAACUUUUAAUUUACAUGAAUGUCAUUCCAUAAUCUGUUUAACAGCUCAUGAGGAUAUAACAUACACACAUGAUCCAGUCGCUGAUGUCAUAUACACAAGAUGUAUAUUUAAUUUUUUACUAACAAAAAUAAAAUUUAAGUCAAUCUUAUAUAUAUAUAUAUAUAUAUUGUAUUGAUAAGUCAA